rnacentral:rRNA from 1 species
AUACGUAGGGUGCGAGCGUUAAUCGGAAUUACUGGGCGUAAAGCGUGCGCAGGUGGCUUUUUAAGCCAGAUGUGAAAUCCCUGGGCUUAACCUAGGAAUUGCAUUUGGAACUGGAAAGCUAGAGUGCGGCAGAGGGAGGUGGAAUUCCACGUGUAGCGGUGAAAUGCGUAGAGAUGUGGAGGAACACCGAUGGCGAAGGCAGCCUCCUGGGCUGACACUGACGCUCAUGCACGAAAGCGUGGGGAGCAAACAGGAUUAGAUACCCUGGUAGUCCACGCCCUAAACGAUGUCGACUAGCUGUUGGGGGAGUCAUCUCUUAGUAGCGAAGCUAACGCGUGAAGUCGACCGCCUGGGGAGUACGGCCGCAAGGUUGAA